rnacentral:ncRNA from 1 species
ACUUUGUGAAGAUUCACGCAGUGUUAACGUGCAAAUUACUUGUCAUAUUUGAGUAUAGGGGCGAAAGACUCAUCGACCUAUCUAGUAGCUGGUUCCACCUGAAUAUUCCCUUAGGAAGGUCAAAGUAUUAAUAGUAUUGAUUGGUAAAGAUAAUGAUUAGGUGUAAUGGGUGAGUAUAUUCACUCAACAUCUUGUCAAACUAUGAAUAAACAAAGAAGAAUUCUCAGUGUUAAAUACACUUCAGGAAUUUAAAUAUAAACAUACUUUGAAUCGGCCAAGUCUGGUAAGCAGGACUGGCGAUGCGGGAUGAACCGAACGUCGAGAUAAAGUGCCAAAAAGAAACAUAACGAGUACCACAAAAGGUAUUCAUUCAUAUUGACAAUAGGACGGUGGCCAUGGAAGUCGGAAACCGCUAAGGAAUGUGUAACAACUCACCUAUCGAAUGAAUGAGUCCUGAAAAUGGAUGGCAUUAUAAUUUCUUAACUGAUACUCGACCGUUAAAAUGAAGACAUUUUAACGAGUAAGGAAACGAAAUGGCGUAAGGACAACAAAAGUAGUAAAGAUUUAAAGUAAUUUAGAUUGAAACUGUCCUUAGUGCAGAUCUUGGUGGUAGUAGCAAAUACUAAGAAGAGGAAAAAAACAUCUUAGAACUGAAGAGGAGAAAGGUUCCUAAACAACAUUACUUGGAUUAGGGUGAAUCGAUCCUAAAUUACAGAUGGAAAUCCUUAAGAAAUAUAUAAGUGACAUAUAGUCAAUAUAAGGAUUGAAAGGGAAUAAGAUUAAUAGUUCUUAAUCAAGAGAAUUAAUGAUUAAAUCUUAGAAAUAAGAUUAAAUCGAAUAAAAUGGUAACAUAUCAUGAACUUUAAAAUGGAGUGUGAAAAUCUACGGAAGAGUUCUCUUUUCUUCUUAACAAAAGUAAAUUCCACUGAAAUGAAUCAAUCAGAGAAGUGGAAUUUAUUGGCUUUGUAAGAAAUUCAACAUAUGAUUGAAUUGUGGUAUUUUUGCAGUCUUCAUAAAAAUUAAAG